CUACAGGAGCCCUGGCACCACACCAGUUCCCUAGGGGAAGAGGGAACCACUAGCACAUGGGCCUAUGGAUGUUUCGGAGGAAAAAACGUGUUUCUGCGUCAGCGUGUUCUGUCUGAGCGAAGACCAGCAACAAUGUGGCAUUCAGGUCACCAAACAGGGCCAGCACAAGGAGCUCUCGCUGCAAGCCAGCCAAGAGGGGAAAGGGGUCAACCUGGUUUUGAUGGAUGAUGACAGCACCUGUGUACUCAAGGUCACCAUCACGUCUGAGACAGACUGCUGCCGUGUCGGGGCCCGGUCCUUCUUGGUCUCCAAGGGCAACAUGAGUUCUGUGUUGUGCUUCAGGACAGACUCAGACUACCGAGACUUCCAGAGACUUCUGAGCAGCGGGGUCAAACCUCGGGGGGAGUGCUGUGCGUUUGACCAGCGGACUGAAGGCUCCUCUGCACUCCAAUAUUUCCAGUUUUAUGGCUGUAUAUCACAACAGCAGAACAUGCUUCAGGACUACCUGAGGACUGCUACUUACCAGAAGGCCAUUCUUCUGAAUGAGCAGGACUUUAGAGAUAAGAUAGUGCUGGAUGUGGGCUGUGGAACGGGGAUCUUGUCAUUUUUCGCAGUGCAAGCGGGUGCCAAAAGAGUGUACGCUGUGGAGGCAAGUGCCGUGGCCAAGUACGCAGAGGUUCUUGUGAAGAGCAACAGUUUGUCUGAUAAAAUUAUAGUUUUAGCUGGAAAGGUGGAAGAGAUCACGUUACCUGAACAGGUAGACAUUAUCAUCUCCGAGCCCAUUGGUUACAUGCUGCUAAAUGAGAGGAUGCUGGAGAGUUAUCUGCAUGCCAAGAAAUGGCUCCGGCCCAAAGGUAUGAUGUUCCCCACCUCCAGUGACAUACACUUGGCCCCAUUCACAGACGAAGCGCUUUACAUGGAGCACUAUGCGCGCUCCGGCUUUUGGCAACAGACCUGUUUCCAUGGCAUCAAUCUGAGUGGGCUUCACACUGCAGCUGUAGAUGAGUUCUUCAAACAGCCAAUUGUGGACACAUUUGACUGGCAGAUUUUAAUGGCCCGGUCCACAAAAUACACUAUUAACUUUCUUGAGGCAAAGGAGGAGGACUUGCACAGGUUGGACAUUCCCUUUGUUUUCAAGUUGACACAAACAGGACUGAUCCAUGGAAUUGCCUUCUGGUUUGACAUAGCCUUUAUUGGAUCCAGAAUGACCGUAUGGCUCUCAACAGCCCCAAACCAGCCUCUGACUCACUGGUACCAAGUCCGCUGCCUCCUACAGACGCCACUGUUUGCCAAAAUGGACCAAACAUUAUCAGGGAGAGUUCAACUCAUAGCCAAUAAGAGGCAAAGUUAUGAUAUUCACAUCGUGGCAGUCAUUGACCAGUCAGGAUUUAAGUCUGGCAAUACACUGGACCUCAAAAAUCCUUUCUUCAGGGUGCCCACUUGGCUUCAGGCAUAGCGUGCCCCCAGCAGGAGCAUAGAGUGUGUCGACAUCAUCAGGGCAUGAUUGGACAGAUUAGAUUCAACUGAACCCUGGGACUAUAGGCUGGGUAUGCCUAGGUCAGCCUGACCUCCGAAGUCAUCCCCUCGUACCUAUACAAUGUCUGAUAUGUGGAUUAAGCUAAAAUCUAAUUCACUUCUUAGCCUUGGCUACAAGUUUUCAACAUCUCUGAGGCCAAAGACCUAUUGACUGAUACAGGCGUGGUGGAGGGACCGCAUUUUGGCCUACAUUCUGGGUUGAAUGUUGCAUUUUAAACUAAAUGUAUUGGACAGGUGAUAGGCUACCAUGUAUGAAAGUACUUUUGUAAAGAUGUAAACAAUGCAAGCCAUGUUUAUAGAACUUUUUUUGUAUUUUUUUGUAUUUUUUAAAUCUCAAUUAAACUCUGGAGACCCCCAAGGGUCACGGACCCCGUCUUGAAAAUACAGAUAUGCAGCCUAGACCUACGUGUUAGCUUUCCUUUGUUAUGUGACAUACAUGGGUUUUUUUAUUAUUAUAAUUGUAUAAUACAUGUGUUCAUUGACAUGUCUGAUCAUGUUUUGAAAUGGAUUUCAAAUGUUUGAAAAUAAAAAUGUA